rnacentral:lncRNA from 1 species
UGCAUCUCUUCCUUUAAGGCUCUGAUAUUGGUUGCCUUUGUGUCAAGUGAGAUUUUUCCUGACUGGAGAAUCACAUUCCAGAUCUCAAUGCAUUGCAGUACCAGCAACUAUGCCAACUGACAUGUCAUUCAACACAAUGCUGCUCACCUCCUUCUACAGUUAGGAGUAGGGCUGGUUCAGGGGUAUGGGGAUGGCUACACAGGGCUGCUGAGCCUGACACUGCAUCUGUUGGGCCUGGCACCAGGCAGGGGCAGCAACAACUAAUUUAGUAUGAAUAGCUUGCUAAAAGUUUGCCUGCAUUUAUUAAAUGUUGGCUAAAAGAGGAGCGAAAUGUACACUCAGAAUGUUCUGUGAAGAUAUUAAGUAACUAAUGUUAGGAGAGCAAAAGUUGCCUAUUUCACUAUGGAUUAAGCUAACAGGUUAAUUUCCACCACUCAAGGACUACACCCACCUUCCUUUGUGAAAAAUUGGGUGACAUACAGUCGCCCUUUCUUUUCUCUCUCCUGUCCUUCUUUUCUUUCUUUUAGUUUUUGGAAGCCAGAUUUUUCUUUAGGAAGCUGCGACAUGAUGCUCCGGCACUUCUCACUCGCAAUUCACUGCUAGGGGGGGUUGGGCAAUACAGAGGCUCUCUGCAUGUUUACUUUUUGUCCUAAACAGGAAAAGAUAAAGAACCGUUAGAUGUAUUAGUACAUUGUAAAUCAAUUAUUAUAAUAAUGAUGAUAGGUUAAUGAUUUAAUAUUGAAAAAAAUGUACCUAAUGUUCUAAUAAUUUCUUAUUAGGCCGUUAGAAUCGUCCUAACUUUUCCCCCCCAUAUGGCGCCCCUGCCAACAAUAUACAUAAGUAGAUCCGAUACUGGUUGAUCCUGCGACACGGCUACAGUACACACUUUUAAAUACACCAAAACAAACUGGGUAUCAACGAGCUUUCAAGCUGAGGUUUGAACAAUUACUCUCUCGCGACACUGUCACAACCCACUUCUGCGCAGCUGAUGCUGGCUAUUUAAUAGGGAAUUAAAGGGGAAGCGCCCCAUCGGCAGGAGAAACACUGAGACGGUUCAGACAAAUUCAAUGCUGUCACAACGCGUCGGUUUUGUUGCGAAACAACCAACCUGCCUAAAACAAAAGAUAAUUUAGCUUACCAGUCUCAACGUCACUGUUGACGUUGAGACUGGUGUUUUGCAGGUACUAUUUAAUGAAGCUGCAGUUGAGUACUUGUGAGGUGUUUGCGCAACGCAUAGGGUGUUUGCGUUUCACCCCAACGACCAGGGUUCCCGUUCCUGUCUCUCCGUUCACUACAGUAUUGUAACUCUGCACUAUUACAUAAUGAUAGAUAAGUGCUAUUUGCGUAGGAAAAUAUAAUGCUCCAUUGUUUAUACUUUUGUUGCUGACCCGGUUUAUGAGGGCCUGCAGAAGUUAAUGUAUGUGACUAUAAUAACAUUAUACUACUGUAAUUACUUCAUAUAGGAUGUGUAACCAUCCCUGGAAAACAAAAUGCUCAAUACGGAAAGGAUCAAUGUUAAGUCAGUUCACAUAAUGGACUAAAUGAACGGAUGGGAUUCAUCUUCCGCUUCUCCCAAGGCCUAUGACUCAAAUUGACAUGAAGCAGGAUGGAUUGGCUGGUAGUUCACAAAUAAAGAAGCUCAGAAAGGUGUGUAUGUGUACAAAGGCUUUGAGAAGAUUGAAGAAAUGGAACGCCUUCAAAUUUGGCGGACAUCACAGAAAUCGAUUAAAUUCGAUUGAUUUCUGCGACAUUUUUGGUUAUCGUUGAGUCCAAAUUCAGCCAUAAAAGAAAGUACAACUGGGUCUUUGGGAUGUUGGAGGUCAACAGAGGUAAUAGAUGACCCGAUUUGAAAAUGGUACCUUCAAGCUCACGCAGAGUACUGAUCCCGAUCAUUAGAAAACAACAUCAAAAGAGGAUCAACCAUCUACAGUGACUCGUGGAGAGCAUAUGUGCAGGCGCUGAAUCCACUAGGUUAUCAGCAUCACACUGUGAACCACAGGCAGAACUUUGUUGAUCCACAUUCGAGCAGCCACACACAGCACAUUGAACGCUCUUUGCAGAUGAUCAAAAAACAGGUCUGGAGACUAAAAGGGAAUCAAUCAGAGAAAAUGUUGAAGAACCAUUUGAAAUGUAUUGAAUGGACUUACUGGUUGGGCAAAAAACACAGGGGAGGCAUCUUCGGACAACUGAUCAACAACAUUAAGAAGAGAUAUAAAGUGUGACUGAAUUUUUUGGAGGGAGAAAAGCACAUAUUGGGCCCAUCUUCAAAUACCGUUGGAGGUGUGGAGAAGUAGAUCUGGAGAUAAUUUCACUUUUGUUCUGUUAUUGAUCUGUCAUUGUAUUUUGUGAUCACAGUAUUUUCAUUUGCCAUAGAAAAUAAAAAAAGCUUAAAAAAAUUAGAUUUAAAAAAAAAUAUUGUUAACUUUACAAAUUACAACAUUAAGAAAGAGAAACUUCUGGAGUAUCGCAAAAUAUGGUUUGGGUCCCUCAGUCCAGAGCUAUUAAAUUAAAAUAAAAGAAGAAGGCAAGGGGAAAGCUUUGGUCUAUAACACCAAAGAUUUGGUAGAUUAACCAUGUUCUGUUAAUUAGGCCAACAUGGUGUUUUGAAAUUUUCCAGUUUGAAUGUUUUUUGCAUCUCCUACAUCAUGAAGCCUAAUAUAUUGAAAAACUCUCUGAAAAAUCUGUUUUAAUUCUUAAAGAAGUGUUUUUCUUUUUCAGUUUAUACUUUUAUGGCAGUUUGCUGUGAGACUUGUGCCUUAGUAGAUCAUUGAAAAAUAUUUGCUUCCGUCGUUUUAUUUUUUUGUGAAAUGCUACCUCAGAUAACCAUUCUUAAAGAAGAAUGUCUGCACCACAUGUUUCGUUGUUCUUUUUCAGUUGAUACAUUUAUGGCAGUUUGCAGACACUUGUGCCUUCGUAGAUUAGUAAAAAAAAUAUUUUUACAAAAAUGUUAAAUUGUGAAAUGAUACCUCGGAUAACAAUGUUUAAGUAAACUAUUCAAAUGUUUUUACAUUACAAAUGUCCUCUCAGGAAAACUAUGGCAAUGUUAUCAUGUAAUAAAGCUGUUCCUAAGAGAUUAUCUUCCUCUUGCUGACUUUUUUAUGGUUGUUGCUAUAUCUGUCUUUUACAAUAGCGUACAGAAAUUAAGUGAAACUUCCAGAAGCUUUAAAAUGAGGGCCAGGAUGUCAGGAUGGGUAAUGUACAGUAUAAAUACACACUAAUUACAAGUAAGUAUUCGUCAAGAUAUACUUAAUUUUAACUAGCUAAAUCCUGUGUAACACCUAGUAAUUACAUUGUACUUACGCAGAUAUUACAUGUACUCUGUGGUGUACAAAUUUGUUUAGUCUCCCACUUAUAUAGUGCUUCUAGAAGCUUUAAUUCUGAGUUCCAGGUUGUUAGGAUGGGUAAUGUACUGUAUAAAUACACAUUAAUUACAGGUAACUACCCCUCAUGAGACACUUCAUUUUAACAAGCUAAAUCCAGUGUAACAGCUAGUGAUUACAUUGUACUUAGGCAAAUAUUACAUGUACUACGCUUUGAAAUAAUGUAUUUUUCCACAUCUGGGUUGACACCUAUAUUAGAUCCCAGUCAGUGAGGCUGACCUACUGAUCUGUUUUUACCAGCUUAACCAAGUUACCCCUGAUGGUAUACUUUAUUUUGAGGGCAAGUGCUAGCAACAACACUGAGUGCACAUUCAAGGGUAAGUAAUUAGAGCCUAUUGAGUAUAGGCUAUAAUCUCUAAGACACCCAUCACAUCCAUGAGGGAUCACAACCUUUGUGACAUUUGUUACUGUAUGCAGCUGAGAAGAAGCGAAACACUAAGUUAGUGAAUUUAGUGGAAACCUGCCCAUGUGUAACAACCAUGGUAACAAUAAUAAUUUGUUACACUGCUGUAAUUACAGUGCCUUCGGAAAGUAUUCAGACCCCUUGACUUUUUCCACAUUUUGUUAUGUUACAGCCUCAUUCUAAAAUUGAUGAAAUAAAAAAUGUCCCUCGUCAAUCUACACACAAUACUCCAUAAUGGCAAUGUGAAAACAGCUUGUUAGAAUUUUUUUAAAUGUAUUACAAACAAAAAUACCUUAUUUACAUAAGUACUCAGACCCUGUGCUAUGAGAAUCGAAUUUGAGCUCCGGUGCAUUCUGUUUCCAUUGAUCAUCCUUGAGAUGUUGCUACAACUUCAUUGGAAUCUAGCUGUGGUUAAUUCAAUUCAUUGGACAUGAUUUUGAAAGGCACACACCUGUUUAUAUAAGGUCCCACAGUUCACAGUGCAUGUAAAAGCAAAAACCAAGCAGUGAGGUCGAAGGAAUUGUCCACAGAGCUCCGAGACAGAAUUGUGUCGAGGCACAGAUCUGGGGAAGGGUACCAAAAAAUGUCUGCAGCAUUGAAGGUCAACCAAGAACACAGUGGCCUCCAUUUUAAAUGGAAGAUGUUUGGAACCACCAAGACUCUUCCUGGAGCUGGCCAUACUGAGCAAUCAGGGGAGAAGGGCAUUGGUGAGGGAGGUGACCAAGAACUAGAGGUCGACCGAUUAAUCGGAAUGGCCGAUUAAUUAGGGCCGAUUUCAAGUUUUCAUAACAAUCGGAAAUCGGUAUUUUUGGAGGCCGAUUUGGCCGAUUUAUUUUUU